GAUGAACGCUGGCGGCGUGCCUAAUACAUGCAAGUCGAGCGAACAGACGAGGAGCUUGCUCCUCUGACGUUAGCGGCGGACGGGUGAGUAACACGUGGAUAACCUACCUAUAAGACUGGGAUAACUUCGUGAAACCGGAGCUAAUACCGGAUAAUAUAUUGAACCGCAUGGUUCAAUAGUGAAAGACGGUUUUGCUGUCACUUAUAGAUGGAUCCGCGCCGCAUUAGCUAGUCGGUAAGGUAACGGCUUACCAAGGCUACGAUGCGUAGCCGACCUGAGAGGGUGAUCGGCCACACUGGAACUGAGACACGGUCCAGACUCCUACGGGAGGCAGCAGUAGGGAAUCUUCCGCAAUGGGCGAAAGCCUGACGGAGCAACGCCGCGUGAGUGAUGAAGGUCUUCGGAUCGUAAAACUCUGUUAUUAGGGAAGAACAAAUGUGUAAGAAACUAUGCACGUCUUGACGGUACCUAAUCAGAAAGCCACGGCUGACUACGUG
rnacentral:rRNA from 1 species